rnacentral:rRNA from 1 species
CGGGGAUUGCCCUAGUAACGGCGAGAGAAGCGGCAACAGCUCAAAUUUGAAAGCUGGGCUUCGGGUCCGCAUUGUAAUUUGUAGAGGAUGCUUUGGGUGAAACGCCAGUCUAAGUUCCUUGGAACAGGACGUCAUAGAGGGUGAGAAUCCCGUAUGUGACUGGAAAUGUUAACCUAUGUAAAGCUCCUUCGACGAGUCGAGUUGUUUGGGAAUGCAGCUCUAAAUGGGAGGUAAAUUUCUUCUAAAGCUAAAUAUUGGCGAGAGACCGAUAGCGCACAAGUAGAGUGAUCGAAAGAUGAAAAGCACUUUGGAAAGAGAGUUAAAAAGCACGUGAAAUUGUUGAAAGGGAAGCGCUUGCAAUCAGACUUGUUUAAACUCUGUUCGGGCGUCUUCUGACCGGUUUACUCAGUUUGGACAGGCCAGCAUCAGUUUCGGCGGCCGGAUAAAGGCUCUGGGAAUGUGGCCUUCACUUCGGUGAAGGUGUUAUAGCCAGGGUGUAAUACCGCAGCCG